rnacentral:rRNA from 1 species
UACGAAGGGGGCUAGCGUUGUUCGGAUUUACUGGGCGUAAAGGGCGCGUAGGCGGAUUUUUAAGUCAGGGGUGAAAUCCCAAGGCUCAACCUUGGAACUGCCUUUGAUACUGGGAAUCUUGAGUCCGGGAGAGGUGAGUGGAACUGCGAGUGUAGAGGUGAAAUUCGUAGAUAUUCGCAAGAACACCAGUGGCGAAGGCGGCUCACUGGCCCGGAACUGACGCUGAGGAGCGAAAGCGUGGGGAGCGAACAGG